rnacentral:lncRNA from 1 species
UUUCAAGAAUGUUAAAAAGUCAAGAAGCAAGCAGAAGUAAAACAGAUUCACCUAACCUUGUAAAAGAUAAAACUUGUCCUAUAACCUGAACACUACUACUCCUUACUCCUUAUAGUCUGGUGUUUUCAGUUUUCCUGGUAAUGUCCUAAAAACUGUCUUGCCUGUUGUAAUAUUCUUCAAAAUAUGUAAAGUGCUGUUAAUGUUCCAAAGCAUGUUUUGUUUGGUGCUACAGUGUUGGUUUUGUGAAGUCCUUAUGUCAUGUUCCUAUUAGAUUGUACCUGUGCAAAUUGUCAGACUUGUUAGACAAAUCUUUGCCUGAAAAAGCAAAACUUAAAUGCCAAUGUAUAUGUGUUUUCUCUUUCUUUUUUCAGCCCAGAAGAUUAAGGACUUAAAUCUGCUUGCACUAGUUGUGCCUUCAUUACUUUGCCAUAGAAAUGUAGUAAUAAUGCUAACUAAAACAUUCUAUUGUGAAAUGUAGUUGCUUGAGAAAAAAGAUGAUAAUAUAUUUAAAAAUAUCUGUCAGUACCACAUUAGACUUUUGUGGGUUUGUUUAUGUGAUGUACUGGUCUAUAAGCAAAAGUAUUAUUUAAGGUGUUAAAUAUGAUACAGUAUUUUAAAGAGUUGCAUCAUUGUAUAUUGUGUAAUUGAAAAGAAAAGAAAGUAUAUUUUGUUUGUAUUGUGUUUUACUUUGCCUUUUGUUGAAAAUUAUUACAUUAUUUGACUUUUUGUGUUCUUUUACUGCACAGUAAAUAAAUAAAUGUCAAAUAAACUGCCAUGCUACAAAAUGUUGCCUUUUUCUCUUAAUUAUAAAAACUGUGAUUAUCAUAAAAAGUCUAGAAUACUGAGAUUUGACUGUUUAAUAAAUAUAUGACUAUUAACAUUCUGAUAUAUUUCCUAGAUCAUAAUUCUUCAACUUGAAGAUAACCAAUGGACAUGUUGGAGAGGAAUGGGACAGGAGAAGGAGGAGAUCAUGAGAGGAAGAAGAGGAAAGUGGAAGUAGAUAAGGGAAAGAAAAAGGGUGACAGUAUUUUUGAUCCAUACAUCACAGCUGGUCACAAGAACAUGCAGACCAGCUGAGACAGACAGCCUUGUAAGACUGAGCAACUCUAGAUUCCUGAACUUUCCAUUGACAACUAGACAUUGUUGGACCACAGUAUAUAGUAAGUAAUUCUAGUAAAUUCCCGUGUGUGUGUGUGUGUGUGUGUGUGUGUGUGUGUGUGUGUGUGUGUGUGUGUGUGUUUCUCCCUCUCUCUCUGUGUGUGUGUGUGUGUGUAUGUGUGUGUGAAGAAGAGAGAAACAGAAAGAGAUUCAAUCCAUAAAUUCUGAGACUCUACAUAAUCAUGGCUAAUACAUCUACUUUCAGAAAACUCUUUGUUUUGUUUUUGUUCGUUUUCUUUUUCAUUUUUUAUUUAAAUUCUUUAAUUACUACUCAUAUUUACAUAUCC